rnacentral:lncRNA from 1 species
GAGGAUUUGAGGCCUGCUGACAGCCUUGACUGAGAUUUCAGCCAACACCCAAUAUCAAUUUUGCUAACCGGCCUUAACUUUCUCUAGGAAUGAUCUUACAUCCAUGGAUGUGACUGUCUGAGCAAGUGGAAGAAGCCAUGGUAUAACACAGAUUAAAUUAUCUCAGUGAUGAUGGUAAUCAUUUCCAAAAGAAGGUAGUGGUCCUCUUCCCUGAACUGUAAGAACUGUGAUUUCAUGCACUCCAAGUUGAGAACCCCUGCAGGAUCCUGAGUUGACUAAAUCCUAAUCAGUACGGCAGUCAAAGAUUCCGUAGUGCCUGGCCAUUGUAUGGAAAGAUCAGUCUUCUCAAGGUUAUUAAAAUCUCCCAUAAUAUAUUCACUGUGUACUUACAUGAA